UGCAAACUGGAGCAUAGUGGUCUUUUUGGUAUUGGUGUUUUUAUUCAGAAUCAGGGAAGUUGCUGCAUUGCCUUCUCAUCCCUGUUUUAUAAAGCUUCUGUUCCUUCCAUCAUCUGGUUUUCAGUGAUCCUGGAAUUCACAGGGUGGCAGUACUUGCAAAGAUUAUCCUCAGUCUCAAGAUACAAAAACUUGUUAAAAAGGCUUGUCCAACUAUAAUUCGCCAGUAAGGAGGAUGGAAAAUGGUAGAACCUCCACCCACCAACCAAAAGCCAAUCAGGAUGCUUGAGAAGACAAACAACCUCCCCUCACAAAGAAAGGCUGUUUUAGUUGCUGAACAGUGUGAUUAGUUCAAGGCCUAGGAGCUGCUGAUAAAUAAACAAACAUUGUUUUCUAUAGAA